CCCUAGUAUAACUAGAUGCACGAUGGCUUGCGCCGGGAUUCCUAGAAGUAGCCGCAAUGGUCUUUUUCAAGGCUUAGCUAACUGAAAGAUUUUGGGUCUCUUGGCCUAAUCUGUGGGGAACCGGGCCCUAGAGACGGAGAGGGCACAUUACGCAGUACAUCCGAUGGACGGCUGCCCUGGAAUCCUAAAGUUGCUACCGAGUGCACUAAGGUAGCCUACGGAUUCCGGAAGACUGCCUACGGCUUGCCC
rnacentral:lncRNA from 1 species